UGGGGAAUAUUGCGCAAUGGGCGAAAGCCUGACGCAGCGACGCCGCGUGGGUGAUGAAGGCCUUCGGGUCGUAAAGCCCUGUCGGGAGGGACGAAACCUCGGUGACCUAAUACGUCACCGACCUGACGGUACCUCUUAAGGAAGCACCGGCUAACUCCGUGCCAGCAGCCGCGGUAAUACGGAGGGUGCGAGCGUUGUUCGGAAUUACUGGGUGUAAAGGGCGCGCAGGCGGGAUAAAAAGUCAGUGGUGAAAUCCUACAGCUUAACGUUAGAACUGCCUUUGAUACUUUUAUUCUUGAGUUCGGGAGAGGGAGACGGAAUUCCAGGUGUAGUGGUGAAAUACGUAGAUAUCUGGAAGAACACCAGUUGCGAAGGCGGUCUCUUGUUCCGAUACUGACGCUGAGGCGCGAAAGCGUGGGGAGCAAACA
rnacentral:rRNA from 1 species